UGCAGGAACUCUCCUUGCAGCCCGAGCUGACCCUGAAUCUCCAUCAUGGCCGGAAUCCCAACCUUCCCCCACUAAGUGAAAGGAAGAAUGUGAGAAAUCUUUCUUGCCCUGACUGGCUGAGACUGGAGGGAGGAUCCCAAAUUGAGAAACAGCAGAAGAGCUAAACCAUGACUUUCUCUGAGGAUUUGUAUUACAUGGAAUCUGAGCCUACAGAUAUUAAAAGCUUUAAUGCGGGUGAAGUAUUGAGCAUCUUGCAUGAUUGGGCUCCAUCUGUUUACAAUUGCAUAGCACAACAAAUCUCAAAACCUGGGAGACAUUU